GACGAACGCUGGCGGCGUGCCUAAUACAUGCAAGUCGAACGCACGAAGUUGAAGAGCUUGCUCUUUAACCAAGUGAGUGGCGGACGGGUGAGUAACACGUGGGUAACCUGCCCAUUAGAGGGGGAUAACAUUCGGAAACGGAUGCUAAUACCGCAUAGUUUCAGGAAUCGCAUGAUUCUUGAAGGAAAGGUAGCUUCGGCUACCACUAAUGGAUGGACCCGCGGCGUAUUAGCUAGUUGGUGAGGUAAUGGCUCACCAAGGCAAUGAUACGUAGCCGACCUGAGAGGGUGAUCGGCCACACUGGGACUGAGACACGGCCCAGACUCCUACGGGAGGCAGCAGUAGGGAAUCUUCCGCAAUGGACGAAAGUCUGACGGAGCAACGCCGCGUGAGUGAAGAAGGUUUUCGGAUCGUAAAACUCUGUUGUUAAAGAAGAACAAGGAUGAGAGUAACUGCUCAUCCCCUGACGGUAUUUAACCAGAAAGCCACGGCUAACUACGUGCCAGCCGCCGCAGUAA
rnacentral:rRNA from 1 species